rnacentral:rRNA from 1 species
UACAUGUGGGGCAAGCGUUGUUCGGAAUUACUGGGCAUAAAGGGUGCGUAGGCGGCUUGUUAAGUCAGGGGUGAAAGUUUUCGGCCCAACCGGAAAAUUGCCUUUGAUACUGGCGAGCUCGAGUGCGUGAGGGGUAACCGGAACGAGCAGUGUAGCGGUGAAAUGCGUAGAUAUCAGGAGGAACACCGAUGGCGAAGGCAGAUCUCUGGGCCGUAACUGACGCUGAGGAGCGAAAGCGUGGGGAGCGAACAGG